CCUACGGGUGGCUGCAGUCGAGAAUCUUCCGCAAUGGGCGAAAGCCUGACGGAGCGACGCCGCGUGAUGGAUGAAGUCCCUCAGGGACGUAAACAUCUUUUAUCGAGGAGAAAGUCAUUGAUAGUACUCGAUGAAUAAGGGGUUGCUAAACUCGUGCCAGCAGCAGCGGUAAUACGAGUGCCCCAAGCGUUAUCCGGAAUUAUUGGGCGUAAAGGGUGUGUAGGCGGCGUUAUUAGUCUUCUGUCAAAUUCUUCGGCUCAACCGGGGGCAGGCAGGGGAAACGGUAAUGCUAGAGGAUGCGAGGGGUCUAGGGAACUCAUGGAGUAGGGGUGAAAUCCGUUGAUAUCAUGGGGAACACCAAAAGCGAAGGCACUAGACUGGCGCAUUCCUGACGCUGAAACACGAAAGCGUGGGUAGCGAACGGGAUUAGAUACCCCUGU
rnacentral:rRNA from 1 species